GAAAUGCGAUAAGUAAUGUGAAUUGCAGAAUUCCGUGAAUCAUCGAAUCUUUGAACGCACAUUGCGCCCUCUGGCAUUCCGGGGGGCAUGCCUGUCCGAGCGUCAUUACGCACCCUCAAGCCCCUCGCCUGGUGCCUUUGCAGAUGCGAAGGCGCCGCGGCGGUACUUGGGGGAUGGAGCGCUGCAACGGCGUCCCACCCCCGCAAUCCACUGGCGGUACCCCAGCGGCUGCGAUUGUGAUAAGUCUUUAUAACAGUCUCACGUCACCGGGUGUUCCGGCCACCAACCAGAGCGUGCGCGUCUCCACGGGCGAGCACGUCUCGACCAUUCAUCAUCUUUUGACUUCGGAUCAGGUAGGGAUACCCGCUGAACUUAAGC
rnacentral:misc_RNA from 1 species